GUAUGGGCUAGGGGGAGUGUUGACGUGCUCUAUUAUUCACAAAUCGUCAAUAAUGGUGACCUGAAGUCUGAGGGCGGCGUAAACGAAGCAUCGAUGACCCAUUGGGUAACAGCGACACUUCGCCUCCAAGAGAUGCAGGUUGGCAUAACGGAUUUCCGGAGGGAAAUUCGAAGUGCCUUAUACCCGGGAACCAGGUCAGGCGCGGAAGCGAGCAGCCCGACCGGGGAUGCUGGAUGCCUUGGAAUAGCGGAGUUGAGGANCUCAAUGAAUUUUCAUCGAUGGUGACGAACGUCCACCGAAGACAUGCCCACAU
rfam:Euryarchaeota archaeon TMED280 768, whole genome shotgun sequence.